rnacentral:rRNA from 1 species
GACGAACGCUGGCGGCGUGCUUAACACAUGCAAGUCGAACGAAGUGGCGAACGGGUGAGUAACGCGUAAUCAACCUGCCCUUCAGAGGGGGACAACAGUUGGAAACGACUGCUAAUACCGCAUACUGAAGGAGGGGCGUGCGGCUGAUUGGGUAGUUGGAGGGGUAACGGCCCCCCAAGGCGAUGAUCAGUAGCCGGGAUGAGAGGUUGACCGUCCAAAUUGGGACUGAGACACGGCCCAGACUCCUACGGGAGGCAGCAGUGGGGAAUCGUCCGGAAUGGACGAAGGUCUGACGGAGCAACGCCGCGUGAGUGAUGACGGCCUUCGGGUUGUAAAGCUCUGUUAAUCGGGACGCGGUACCGGAAUAGAAAGCCACGGCUAACUACGUGCCAGCAGCCGCGGUAAUUC